GAAAAGGAGCAAUCCGCUUUGAGAUGGCCUCGCGUCCGAUUAGCUAGUUGGUGAGGUAACGGCCCACCAAGGCAACGAUCGGUAGCCGGACUGAGAGGUUGAACGGCCACAUUGGGACUGAGACACGGCCCAGACUCCUACGGGAGGCAGCAGUGGGGAAUAUUGCACAAUGGGGGAAACCCUGAUGCAGCGACGCCGCGUGGAGGAAGAAGGUCUUCGGAUUGUAAACUCCUGUUGUUGAGGAAGAUAAUGACGGUACUCAACAAGGAAGUGACGGCUAACUACGUGCCAGCAGCCGCGGUAAAACGUAGGUCACAAGCGUUGUCCGGAAUUACUGGGUGUAAAGGGAGCGCAGGCGGGAGAACAAGUUGGAAGUGAAAUCCAUGGGCUCAACCCAUGAACUGCUUUCAAAACUGUUUUUCUUGAGUAGUGCAGAGGUAGGCGGAAUUCCCGGUGUAGCGGUGGAAUGCGUAGAUAUCGGGAGGAACACCAGUGGCGAAGGCGGCCUACUGGGCACCAACUGACGCUGAGGCUCGAAAGUGUGGGUAGCAAACAGGAUUAGAUACCCUGGUAGUCCACACCGUAAACGAUGAUUACUAGGUGUUGGAGGAUUGACCCCUUCAGUGCC
rnacentral:rRNA from 1 species